rnacentral:rRNA from 1 species
ACGGAAGGCAGCAGUGGGGAAUAUUGCACAAUGGGGGAAACCCUGAUGCAGCGACGCCGCGUGAAGGAAGAAGUAUCUCGGUAUGUAAACUUCUAUCAGCAGGGAAGAUAAUGACGGUACCUGACUAAGAAGCCCCGGCUAACUACGUGCCAGCAGCCGCGGUAAUACGUAGGGGGCAAGCGUUAUCCGGAUUUACUGGGUGUAAAGGGAGCGUAGACGGAUCGGCAAGUCUGAUGUGAAAGGCUGGGGCUCAACCCCGGGACUGCAUUGGAAACUGUCGGUCUUGAGUGCCGGAGGGGUAAGCGGAAUUCCUAGUGUAGCGGUGAAAUGCGUAGAUAUUAGGAGGAACACCAGUGGCGAAGGCGGCUUACUGGACUGUAACUGACGUUGAGGCUCGAAAGCGUGGGGAGCAAACAGGAUUAGAUACCCUGGUA